CCUACGGGAGGCAGCAGUGAGGAAUAUUGGUCAAUGGGCGCGAGCCUGAACCAGCCAAGUCGCGUGAGGGAAGACGGUCCUAUGGAUUGUAAACCUCUUUUGUCGGGGAGCAAAAGACGCCACGCGUGGAGUUCCGAGAGUACCCGAAGAAAAAGCAGAGGCUAACUCCGGGCCAGCAGCCGCGGUAAUCCGGAGGAUGCGAGCGUUAGCCGGAUUUAUUGGGUUUAAAGGGUGCGCAGGCGGAAGAUCAAGUCAGCGGUAACAUUGAGAGGCUCAACCUCUUCGAGCCGUUGAAACUGGUUUUCUUGAGUGAGCGAGAAGUAUGCGGAAUGCGUGGUGUAGCGGUGAAAUGCAUAGAUAUCACGCAGAACUCCGAUUGCGAAGGCAGCAUACCGGCGCUCAACUGACGCUCAUGCACGAAAGUGUGGGUAUCGAACAGGAUUAGAUACCCUAGUAGUC
rnacentral:rRNA from 1 species